UACAGAGGUGGCAAGCGUUGUCCGGAUUUACUGGGUGUAAAGGGCUGGUAGGCGGUGAUGCAAGUCCCGCGUGAAAUGCUGAGGCUCAACCUCAGCGCUGCGCUGGAAACUGCGUCACUCGAGUGUGGGAGAGGAAGGCGGAAUUUCCAGUGUAGCGGUGAAAUGCGUAGAUACUGGAAGGAACACCAGCGGCGAAGGCGGCCUUCUGGACCAACACUGACGCUGAGCAGCGAAAGCUAGGGGAGCAAACGGG
rnacentral:rRNA from 2 species